rnacentral:rRNA from 1 species
CGCAUCUGUGCAUGCAGCAUAUCAAUAAGCGGAGGAAAAGAAACUAACAAGGAUUCCCCUAGUAACGGCGAGUGAAGCGGGAAGAGCUCAAAUUUGAAAUCUUAAAGGGUUUCCCUUUACGAAUUGUAGUUUAAAGAAGUGUUUUCUGUUGAGGUUUUGGUAAAAGUUCUUUGGAAUAGGACAUCAUGGAGGGUGAGAAUCCCGUAUUUGACCUUUACUUUCAACUUUGUGAUACACUUUCAAAGAGUCGGAUUGUUUGGGAAUGCAGUCCAAAAUGGGUGGUAAAUUUCAUCUAAAGCUAAAUAUUGGCGAGAGACCGAUAGCGAACAAGUACCGUGAGGGAAAGAUGAAAAGAACUUUGAAAAGAGAGUUAAACAGUACGUGAAAUUGUCAAAAGGGAAGCGUUUGACACCAGUGUUGUUUUUCUGAAAAUCAAUUAAAGAACUGUUUAUGCUAAGUUGUUUAGACUUUAUCAGCUAACUGUUUAGUUUUGAGCUUUUCUUUAAUGCACUUUUCAGUUAACAAGUCAACAUCAAUUUCUUUUGCUGUAAAAAAGCUUGAGGAAGGUGGCUUGAGAUUCGUCUUAAGUGUUUAUAGCCUCUCGCCUAUGCAGUCGGAGAGAUUGAGGUCUGCAGCGUAGAUCCUUCGGGGCUAAAUGCAUUUGUGCUAAGUUAUAGCAUUUUAUAGACAACUUGUUGACUAUGAUUUGUCUUGUAGCUUACUCGCUUAUGUUAUUUUACCUACGCUUAGGAUGUUGAGCGCAUGUCUCUCUCU